UUUGCAAUUGGGAUUUGAGAACAACGUACAAACCUUAUCGAUAAACAAUUGGAGGGCAAGUCUGGUGCCAGCAGCCGCGGUAAUUCCAGCUCCAAUAGCGUAUAUUAACGUUGUUGCAGUUAAAAAGCUCGUAGUUGAAAUGAAGGGUGGUUGUGUAAUGAAUACAUUCGUGUAUUUUGUUAUUCUACCACCCUCCUUCUAAAUUCGAUAUAUGAGUAUUAAUUUACUUGUAUAUGGUUUUAGACCUUUACUGUGAGAAAAUUAGAGUGUUCAAAGCAGGCAUUUGCUUGAAUAUAUUAGCAUGGAAUAAUCAUGUAUGAUUUUCAUGAUGUAUUUGAUUGGUUUGGUUCAUGAGAAUAAGAUUAAAAGGGACAGUUGGGGGUAUUCAUAUUCAAUAGUCAGAGGUGAAAUUCUCGGAUUUAUGGAAGAUGAACAAGUGCGAAAGCAUUUACCAAGGAUGUUUUCAUUAAUCAAGAACGAAAGUUAGGGGAUCGAAGAGGAUUAGAUACCCUCGUAGUCUUAAC
rnacentral:rRNA from 1 species